GACGGAGGGUGCUAGCGUUGUUCGGAAUUACUGGGCGUAAAGGGCGCGUAGGCGGCCUGGUCAGUCGGAUGUGAAAGCCCGGGGCUCAACCCCGGAACGGCAUCCGAGACGGGCAGGCUGGAGACCGGGAGAGGAGAGUGGAAUAGCCAGUGUAGAGGUGAAAUUCGUAGAUAUUGGCUGGAACACCGGUGGCGAAAGCGGCUCUCUGGCCCGGUUCUGACGCUGAGGCGCGAAAGCGUGGGGAGCAAACAGG
rnacentral:rRNA from 1 species